CCUACGGGAGGCAGCAGUGAGGAAUAUUGGUCAAUGGCCGGAAGGCUGAACCAGCCAAGCCGCGUGAGGGACGACUGCCCCAUGGGUUGUAAACUUCUUUUAUCAGGGAAGAAUAAAUGCUACGUGUAGCAUGAUGCCUGUACCUUAUGAAUAAGCAUCGGCUAACUCCGUGCCAGCAGCCGCGGUAAUACGGAGGAUGCGAGCGUUAUCCGGAUUUAUUGGGUUUAAAGGGUGCGUAGGCGGACUGUUAAGUUAGUGGUAAAAGCUCGGGGCUUAACCACGGCGAGCCAUUGAUACUGGAUGUGUUGAGAUGUCGAGAGGUAGGCGGAAUGCGCAGUGUAGCGGGGAAAUGCUUAGAUAUUGCGCAGAACUCCGAUGGCGAAGGCAGCUUACCGGCGGCGAUCUGACGCUGAGGCACGAAAGCGUGGGUAUCGAACAGGAUUAGAUACCCCAGUAGUC
rnacentral:rRNA from 1 species